rnacentral:rRNA from 1 species
GAUGAACGCUGGCGGCGUGCCUAACACAUGCAAGUCGAACGGACUUACAUUGAAGCCUAGCGAUAUGUAAGUUAGUGGCGGACGGGUGAGUAACGCGUGGGUAACCUGCCUUGUACUGGGGGACAACAGUUGGAAACGACUGCUAAUACCGCAUAAGCGCACAGCUUCGCAUGAAGCAGUGUGAAAAACUCCGGUGGUACAAGAUGGACCCGCGUCUGAUUAGCUGGUUGGUGAGGUAACGGCCCACCAAGGCAACGAUCAGUAGCCGGCCUGAGAGGGUGAACGGCCACAUUGGGACUGAGACACGGCCCAAACUCCUACGGGAGGCAGCAGUGGGGAAUAUUGCACAAUGGGGGAAACCCUGAUGCAGCAACGCCGCGUGAGUGAAGAAGUAUUUCGGUAUGUAAAGCUCUAUCAGCAGGAAAGAAAAUGACGGUACCUGACUAAGAAGCCCCGGCUAACUACGUG